rnacentral:sRNA from 1 species
AAAUAGCCCUGAUUGAAGCGAUAUCCUUUUAUAAAACGUCCAGCCUGCUAAAGGAUGGAAGCUUUAUAAAAGAUAUAGUGGAAAGCGGGUGAGAUA